rnacentral:rRNA from 1 species
UCCUACGGGAGGCUGCAGUGAGGAAUAUUGCGCAAUGGGGGCAACCCUGACGCAGCAACGCCGCGUGAGUGAGGAAGGUUUUCGGAUUGUAAAGCUCUGUCGAGCGGAAAGAAAUACAUGGUGGCUAAUAUCCAUCAUGUUUGACGGUACCGCUAGAGGAAGCACCGGCUAACUCCGUGCCAGCAGCCGCGGUAAUACGGGGGGUGCAAGCGUUGUUCGGAAUCAUUGGGCGUAAAGCGCGUGUAGGCGGCUUGACAAGUCAGAUGUGAAAACCCUGGGCUUAACCCAGGCAGUGCAUUUGAAACUGUUUAGCUUGAGUAAGGGAGAGGAAAGUGGAAUUCCUGGUGUAGAGGUGAAAUUCGUAGAUAUCAGGAGGAACACCGGUGGCGAAGGCGACUUUCUGGCCCUAUACUGACGCUGAGACGCGAAAGCGUGGGUAGCAAACAGGAUUAGAUACCCUAGUAGUCA